rnacentral:rRNA from 1 species
GAUGCGACCUCAGCUCAGGCGGGGCUACCCGCUGAGUUUAAGCAUAUCAAUAAGCGG